rnacentral:rRNA from 1 species
AUGAACGCUGGCGGCGUUGCUUUAACACAUGCAAGUCGAACGAAGCACUUUGAAACAUCCUUCGGGUGCGUUUCUUAGUGACUUAGUGGCGACGGGUGAGUAACGCGUGGGUAACCUGCCUCAUGCAGGGGGAUAACAGUUAGAAAUGACUGCUAAUACCGCAUAAGCGCACAGUACCGCAUGGUACAGUGUGAAAAGAUUUAUCAGCAUGAGAUGGACCCGCGUCUGAUUAGCUAGUUGGUGGGGUAAACGGCCCACCAAGGCGACGAUCAGUAGCCGGUCUGAGAGGAUGAACGGCCACAUUGGGACUGAGACACGGCCCAAACUCCUACGGGAGGCAGCAGUGGGGAAUAUUGCACAAUGGGGGAAACCCUGAUGCAGCGACGCCGCGUGAGUGAAGAAGUAUUUCGGUAUGUAAAGCUCUAUCAGCAGGGAAGAAAUGACGGUACCUGACUAAGAAGCCCCGGCUAACUACGUG